rnacentral:rRNA from 1 species
CGGUGAAUACGUUCCCGGGCCUUGUACACACCGCCCGUCAAGCCAUGGAAGUUUGGGGUACCUGAAGUCGGUGACCGUAACAGGAGCUGCCUAGGGUAAAACAAGUAACUAGGGCU